GUUCAAACUGAGAGUUUACAAGCAUCGGCAUAAACUAACUAGAGAAACCCUGCUGAAAUCGUUCUUCAUAGAGUCUCACACAAAAUAGAGCAUUCUUCCGUGGAUGAACUUCCUGCUUUUCUUCCCAUCCAGUUGGACUCACUGUAUUGGUUCACAUGGGCUUGAUCCCACAAGCACUGUUUUUAUGCACAAGAUCACUGGAUUUGUGUACCCAGCAACCAGUCCCCAGCCCCAGAUUGUGGAUUCCAACACCCUAGGAGCCUAAUGCACAAGGGCUGGGAAGACUUGGAGAUCACACUUUCAGUUCCACAGAUGAAUGGCACUGAGUAAGUCCUCAUUAUCUGAGUCUUGGAGGAAGCAGGAUGAGGUGGGAGGACAGGGGAAAGGGGUGUGUGUGAGACUAUCUGGGCCCCCAGGGCCAGCUGGGACACAGUGAGCUCUCUGCCCUUAUGUAUGAUGUAAAUUGGAAAUGAAAACCACUGCCAUAGGUUGUAUGACGCAAUGACCAAGCAUAAUGGGAUCGAGCAUAGUGUCUGAUCCUAAAGUGGGGACCUGCAGAAAUCAUUGAGAUGUAUUGGACCAGCACCUGGCUCAAUUCACUCAGUACCUGGUCCACAGUGUGGACACCUUUAGAAGAUACAUUCCAGGGAUAUGGCUCCCCAGCCAGCAGGGCAUCCAGUGUACCCCUCUCCAGCACAAAAUCAAAGGACCCACUAGGGAAGUCCAGUGAUCGAACAUCCAUGGCUUCCCAACAUAGAUUGGGUACAUGGUCAUAGCGAACUUGCAUGGCUGCCUCCACUACUAGAGAGUAAUCCACACUGGUCACAUUAGGGAAGCCUCCAAGGAAUAAAUAGCUCUUAGCUCAAGACACUAUUCCCUCAACCUAGCAGGAAGAUACGGUCCUCAGGACACAGCUCCGGCUCUAGCAGGGCAUGGAAAAAAGCAAAAUCCCCAAACCACUCAUAGGGUUCCGGAGUCUGCCAUAUUUUUGUAGCGCUGGUCCCAGUAUUGGACUUGACAGUACUGGAAGUUCCUCUCAGUAACUCUGGAGGGGACACAGGAGUCCAGGGAGAGGCCAUGCUCCGGGCCAAAUUUAAAUUUUCUUAUGUGGGAUGAUUAAACUUUUUCUCUAGAGAAGCAGUGUAGUAGCUUGAUUAAUUUUGGCCCCUGUAGAUUCGUACGCUUCAAUGCUUAGACAUGCAAGGUGGCACUCUUGGGAAGUAUGACCAUGUUGGAGGAGUUACAUGUAGCCUUGUUGGAGAAAGUGUCUCAUUAUGUAGGUUUGAGGUCCCUUUUCUUAGGCUCUGCACAGUGGAGAAGACAGCCUGCACCCUGCCAUGCUUCUCGUCAUGAUGAUAAUGGAAAAAACCUCUGAAACUGGAAGCCAGCCCCAAUUAAAUGUUUUCCCCUAUAAGAGUUGCCUUCGUCAUGGGGUCUCGUCAAAGCAAUAUAUAUCCUAAGACAAGCAGGCUACUUAAAUACACAUAAAUUAUUCCUUUUUGUAAUUUAUUGUAAAUGUUCACAUUCUUAAACCAUCUACAUGUAACUAAUUUUCAAAAUUAAUUGACUCCAAGGACCAUGUAAUUGACCAAAAUAGUUAUCAGGUGCUUCACAAACAAUAGGCUCUUUCUUUAGAAUCUUUAAUUGCUAUGCGUGUUUGCUGUUGAUGAAUUGCCUGUUUCAAAAUACUUGAUAUAGCACAAAAAAUGUUUUAUUAAUAUAAUAAUAAAACAUGAUUUUUCAAAAAUAUAUAUGAUUAAAAUAAUAUCCUGUUUUUACAUUAAUAUUAGUACUUUCUACAGAGAAGAUGGGAUAUACAUAUAUAUAUAUUAAUUUACUACAGUAAUAUCAAGUGACUAAUUCAGUUAUUAUAAAUGAUACUUGUACAACUUCCAAAUCAGCACAGAUAUUUUAGCAUCAGUUUAACAUAAAAGGCAGCCUUCAAUAAUAAAUGAUUUUAUUACCCAACAUUUGUAUACCUGAAAAUUAUUUUUCAUAUUUAUAAUGUAAAAAAACUAAAAAUAAUAACUAAAUAUGAAUAUUCAUAAAAACAUGAGAAUAAACUGAAAUAAUAUAAUCAAAAGAUUAAUAAUUCAGUUAUAAUAUAUGGUGGCUUAAUUUUUUCUCAUAUUUUCAUUUCUAUAUUAUAGAAACAGAUUUAUUUUCUAAAUAUAUGUAAUAAUAAAUCCAUUUCUAGGUACCACUUAUCAAAAUAUUACAUCAAACAAUUUAGAAAAUUAACUAGACUAAGAUUAUGUAUUGUUAGAUUUUUUUAGCUCAAGUUUUCCAGUUAAAAUAGUAAAAAGGGAUUUAAGAUGUAUCUAUUUAAAAUAUUCAGCAAAAAGUCCGUGAAAUAAUUUAAAAUUAGAAAAAGUAUAAAAAUAUUUUAAUAUUUCAUAUAUUUGUGGUGUGUGCAUCCUUUAUCUUUACUGUCAAAAACUUUGAGUCUGUGUGACUGUGUGUUCCAGCUUCUAGAAGUUGAGAAGCCCAGGGGAAUGAAUACCCAGCAGAUGGUUUUGGAGACAUAGCACUCAAAUAGUUGAGUGGUUCCUUUACAUUGCCAUCUGCCAUGUAAUACUCUCAGAGAUUGAAAUCUUUCAACUAUAAAAUGUUCUGCCAAGAUUUUAGAAUGACUAUUAGGGCAAACAACAGGUGAGAAGAAUUCUGUAAUGGAUGAAAGGUCUCCAAAAUAUUUCUUAAUGCAUUUUUUUCUAGUAAAACAUUCAUAUGUUUAAAAUUAAUUGAAUGCAUCACUGUGUCAACCUUCAGCAGAACAACUGCAUUUACAUUUACAUAGCCAUCUGCGAGUGUUUGCAUAGUCAUACCUCCUGGGUUGUGGAAACCUAUUCUACAAAGAAUCCAGCAUUUGUAAGCAUACUUGAACACCUGUCAAUCAGUUCCUCUCUCUAGACACGCAGAACAAAAAAGCAGGGCGAAAAGAAAUACUCCUGGCUAUCCUAAUACAUCACAAGUUAUUCGUCGAUCCAAUCAAAAAUCUACACAACACUUUAGGAACCUUAAUUACAUAAGUUUUAAGAUAUUGGAAAUAUUCCUCCUAAGUGUUUUAAUUUUCUGUUAGAAUUGGAAAAAAUGUGUUUUUAAUAUAAAAUAAGUAUUGGAUGAUACAGAAAGUAAUUGUUAAUAUAAAAGUGUCUUGGAAAGAAAUGAGAGUGAUUCAAUACAGAAGUAUAGAUAUGAGCAUGAUCAUCUACACCACCUUUUUGUGAAAUAUUUAGUGUUUUGCCCUGAGUUCAUAAAAAUCAAUUUCCUUGUUAUCAUUAUGUAUAUUCAAGUUACAAGAAAAAUCUUUAAUCUUGUAAACUAGGAAGAAAAAAUCACAUUAAAAAAAGAAUGACAGUAUUGCCAUUAUAAUCAACAUGAUUUUAUAAUUAAAUGAUAUACAAUUAAUAAAGGCAUACAGCAAACUCAAACAAGAUACAAAAUAUUCCACUUUAUGUUAAAGAAUAUUAUAAAUAAAGCUUAAAACAGCUAAGGAAAUGUAAUUAAACCUUUACCACAGAAGCAUAAAAAUAUAUGAACAAAAAAGGCAAAAAUGAGGGCUGUUGGAGUUGCAUAUAGUUUAAAAACUUCACUGUAUAUGUGUAGAUCUGUUGAGACAAAGGACUUUUACUUUCAUACAGGUAUGAAAAUCUAUCAACAAAACUGUAAUUUAUUUAGCUAUCUGUGAUCUAUAACCACAUGCACAUAACAUAGUGGACAGUAUUUUGGCUAUUCUUCUUCUUAUCCACAUCACCAUUUCAUGUUACAGCGUUCAGUCUAUUAUUGAAAUAAAGCCUGUAAUGCUUGUAAAUCCUGUGAAGUCGGAGAUUCGGUCACAGGAAAAGGAGGCAAUUAAUCAACAUUGUCCUAAGAAUCUUUUUCUUAAGAGAAUUCUCAGAGUCAAGGUCUUAACAGGAUUUUUCUGUAAUGAGUAUAUAAUCAACAAUAUAAACUAUAUUAAUUAAUUAAUUAUAUCAUAUUAUUAAAUAGUUAUGUUAAUUGUAUUAAAUAUAUUAGUUAGAACAUAAUAUUUGAUGUUACUGUAAGAAUUAAUAGAUCCUAAAAUACAGAUGGGAAAAAAUGAAGUCACCUUUCAGCUGAGCAAUUUUAAAGGAGUAAAUUUAAAAAUUAUGCUAUUAUGACAAAAUCAAAAGUAGUCAUGUCUUGAUAUUUGGAAUGGAGGUGUUCUAGCAUCAAAUAUGGAUACAUUGUGCAAAUGGUAAAUCAUUUAAUAAAAUCUGGGCUGUAUUUGAAUAUAAAUAUUUGUCUUUUAAUCUAUACUUCAAACUUAAAAAUCCCCCUUAUUGGUAUUGUAUAAAAUACAAAUAAUGUACAAAAAAUGCAAAUAUUCUACAAAUUGUGAUUGUACCACACCAUUUAAGGAAUGUUGGCCAAAGUAUGUGCAUGUUCAAUAAAAAUAAAAUUGAUAUGUGUGUUUUCUUUUGUUUAACUCCAGUUGAUUAAAUUCCUGUCCAUGUGUAACUCAUUUACAUGAAAUGACAACUCUAGAGUGGUUAUGAAAAUGACUUUUUUUCAUGAGUGACUGAUAAUAAAAAUGCAUAUCUGGAUGCAAAGCAGUCUGAAUAUCUAUGUUUUUCUCACUGUUUAUAUCAUUAUAAGUAUUUGUCCUUUUUAGCAUAGUCACUGUGUGGUUUGGGCUAGUCUGGAGGUUA
ensembl:lncRNA